UCCAAAAAUUUCUCACCCAAGCUAACAUAACCCAAAAUAGCUCUAAAAAUCAACUCAACCCAACCUGUAAGGGUCAGAUUGGAGCCAUUUGGUAAGGUCUAAUAAAAAAAAAUAUCAUUAAAUCAUUUAAAUUCAUUAUUGAAAAAUUUUACAAUACAUAAAAUUUUUUAAAUUAUUAAAAAGGAGUUAUAUUAUUUGAGUUGAAAUGCUAAUCCGAUACAGACUCAAGCUAUGCUUGGGGGGAAAUUUUUUAAUUUAGAAAAGAUAAUAAUCAACCAGCCCCAAAGGCCAAAGUCAUAAUUUUGAUAUAUAAUUUUACGAGUGGUGUCAGUAGAAAGAAAUUAUUUAAGCAAAGCUGAACAUGACAAUUAUCCAACAAGUGGACUAGGUGAAAAAAUGUGGGUUGCGAAGGACAUUGAAGAUCUUAACCGAACUAUAUGACUGAGAGAAGCAGCGGAAGUUACGAAGCGAAGAGAACCCGUGAAGACUAUGAUGGGGCUGGAAGCUCUAAUGACAAACCUCACCCAAAAAGGAUUGCAAGACUCCCAGAAAUUAUGGCCCACGGUAACUCUGACUUUGAGGAGUCAAGUGAGUACAAAGACUGUAGUGAAGACUGAAGAGCUAAGCGAAAGUGACCUUGAAGGUUAAUCAACUUUUUUCCCUGUAUGCACAAGCCUAUCAUGCACAUUUGGAUCAGAGUAACUAUAGGAAAGUACCGAGGCGAGUGUGUCCAGUUGUGGAGGGAUAGCUGGUGUUGCUGACAGUUAAGCGACACUGGCAAAGACGGUGCAGAUGGAGUGGUUUUGCCUAAAUCAUGUGCUAGCAGGAAAAUUUUGAAGGUGUUGCAGUUCUGCCAUAUGCAGCUGAGUAGCUGCUAGAAGCCUAGCUGUUUUGCUCUGCAUCAUUCAUCUCUUAUAACAUUAAAGAAAUUUCCAGUAGAACUUGGCUUGGAUAGGGUGAUGAUUGUUGAUCACAAAGUGUUUCAAUUCAAAAGAAUCUAGAAAGGAUAUUUUCUGCAAGCAUAUUUUCUGCAUCAUUCAUCUCUUCUGCAAGCA